rnacentral:rRNA from 1 species
AGUGAACGCUGGCGGUAGGCCUAACACAUGCAAGUCGAACGGCAGCACAGGAGAGCUUGCUCUCUGGGUGGUGAGUGGCGGACGGGUGAGGAAUACAUCGGAAUCUACUCUGUCGUGGGGGAUAACGUAGGGAAACUUACGCUAAUACCGCAUACGACCUACGGGUGAAAGCAGGGGACCUUCGGGCCUUGCGCGAUUGAAUGAGCCGAUGUCGGAUUAGCUAGUUGGCGGGGUAAAGGCCCACCAAGGCGACGAUCCGUAGCUGGUCUGAGAGGAUGUCCAGCACAAGUGGAACGGGGACAGGGCCAAACUCCCAAGGGGAGGAAGCAGUGGGGAAUAUUGGACAAGGGGCACAAUCCUGCCCCAGCCAUACGGGGUGGUGGAAGAAGGCUUCGGGGUUGUAAACCCCGUUUGUUGGGAAAGAAAUCCAGCUGGCUAAUACCCGGUUCGUAUGACGGUACCCAAAAAAUAGGCACGGGCAAACUUCGUGCAAGCAGCCGCCGUAA